AGUAAGUGAAAUCAGAAUUAUGAAUUUUUUCAAUGAAAUUUGUAACUAAAUGGAUCAAACAUGUUCGUCGAGGCACGCACGCACGUCGGGAAAUACGCGUUUGCUGAUUCAACAUGAACAUCGGUCAUGAAAUAUAGUUUGACAACUUCACCAAAACCCUAAUGCAGACGUUGGACGUCAACCCACUUCCAAGAACUCGCGUUCUCAGAUUCAACGAAACCAAAGGCCCAAGGAAAAAUAAGAUUAUCGACGUCUUGACUAAAGGCACAUGCAUAGAAGAACACCC
rnacentral:lncRNA from 1 species